ensembl:snoRNA small nucleolar RNA SNORD49
GCCAAUGAUGAAAACUGAAUGGGAAGUGCCGUCUGAUGCGAUAACUGACGAUGUUUAAUACUUAACUCUUCUGAGG